CCCUUUUGGGGUCAGGGGACUAGAGCUCCAGUGACCGUGUCUCUCUUUUCCCCUCUCCCUGCAG
ensembl:miRNA Mir7009 microRNA 7009